rnacentral:rRNA from 1 species
UAGGGAAUCUUCCACAAUGGACGCAAGUCUGAUGGAGCAACGCCGCGUGAGUGAAGAAGGUUUUCGGAUCGUAAAGCUCUGUUGUUGGUGAAGAAGGAUAGAGGCAGUAACUGGUCUUUAUUUGACGGUAAUCAACCAGAAAGUCACGGCUAACUACGUGCCAGCAGCCGCGGUAAUACGUAGGUGGCAAGCGUUGUCCGGAUUUAUUGGGCGUAAAGCGAGCGCAGGCGGAAUGAUAAGUCUGAUGUGAAAGCCCACGGCUCAACCGUGGAACUGCAUCGGAAACUGUCAUUCUUGAGUGCAGAAGAGGAGAGUGUAAUUCCAUGUGUAGCGGUGGAAUGCGUAGAUAUAUGGAAGAACACCAGUGGCGAAGGCGGCUCUCUGGUCUGCAACUGACGCUGAGGCUCGAAAGCAUGGGUAGCGAACAGG